rnacentral:lncRNA from 1 species
CAGACCAAUAGUACAUCUAUUUUCUACUACCAUUGUUCCAACAAUGUUGCCUUUGCUCAAAUAAUUUGGAACUAUUUUGAAAACCCUAAACAAUGGAAAAGCCAACAAUCAUGGUCGAGAAGGAUCGCAAAGAUUUAUUUUACAGCCGAAUAGGCUUAUGGAGAGAGUAAACUAAGAAUAUAUGAGAAAAC